AUGUGGUAGAAAAGAAGUUUUAAUUUGUCCUUAUAUCAUCAACGCUAGCUGUAGUGGUACUCAUGUCUCCAAACGUAAUGCUUCAACUCCUGGUUUUUUCUUUAGUCUUUACCAUGUUUACGACUCAUCAAGCUUUGGGUGAGAAAGACUGUUAUCACGAGAGAGAUUCGGUUAAGCACGACUGCAAGAAAACCAUCAAAAUUAAUCAUCCCUACGACCCCCCAACAGCUGAGUGCAUUGGUGCUGUCAAACUAUCUGACAUGGUUUGCAUUUGCCGUAUUCUCACCACUGACGACGAGAAGGAAAUAAGUGUACCUAAGCUUCUUCGUCUUGCAGAAGAGUGCAACAGGCCAGUGCCAGCGGGAAGUAAAUGUGGAUCUCAAACCGUUGGACAUUGACUAUAUAUCCCUCACAACCAAGGGGAUCUAUGUUCAUGAUGCAGGAACCCAAGGAAGAAUAAUAAAAAUAACCCUGUACUUUGUUUGCUUUUAUGCCAUGCUUUAUUCAUGGCAAAGUAAUGAAUAAAAAUAUCAUGAGUAUUUCUAGUUUA